GUGACAAGCUCCGAGUGGUGCUCCAGUCUCCCUAAAAAAAAAAAAACGUCGAGGGAAGUUAUGUUCGCAGAAAAGUCUCUUCACAGGUAGUAAUUUCAUCAACUCUAUCACGCGCACAUCCUACUUCCCUAAAAUCAGUUAACAACACAAGCAUCAGGAAGAGAGGAAACAAGUGGUGAAUAAGUAAGAAUCGGAUCGUAACAGCUCCAGGAAGGAUAGCUUUUGAUUGUGAUGUGGUGGAGCCCCCCGGCGGGCCGCGGGGGCAGGAGGUCAGAGGUAGAUCGGUUGUGAGGUCAACAAGCACGGCUCGAUUGUCCCGGGGCGAAAUCUCUGGUAGAGCGGAGGAGGAGAUAGAAUGGUGUGACCUCCGGCGUCAUCCCGCCCGACGCGGAGGUGGUGCUGGAGGUGGUGGAGGUGGCGGUGGAGUCGAGCAGCUGCUCGACUCAGAGGAGGAAGAGCCAACGGCGAUGUCGAGGCAGCUUCGUGGAGACCGUGACCACGUGAGCCGCGACUACCAAGAGGGUUACCACACUGAUUAUCGGGACCUGCGCGAACAUCUCAGGGAUUUCAGGGACUUCCAUCGAGAUACCCUCGACGAAAGAGACGGUCAGGGACCCACCGCUAGUAGAACAUAUCGAGACGACUAUUCGGAAGAAUAUGAUCAUCGUUCUACCGCUGUUGUAUCCACCUCGGCGAAUCUUACCAACAAUCCGAGCCAGCUUCUGUACGAAGUUUCCUUUAAACUUGAAAGGAGGUCAAACGUGUUACAGGACGAAACGAGAGUGUGUACAGCACAAGACGAGAGUGAGAGACUGUGAUAUCAAGGGUGAGGGAUCGACUUCUUUGAUGACAGUAGUCGCUCUCUUUGACAUCCCCGGUAAUCGAAUCCUCUCAUUUGUAG
rnacentral:misc_RNA from 1 species